rnacentral:rRNA from 1 species
AUUUUUUAUCUUGCUUUCUUUUUUUGGUCUUUCUUAUCUUUUAUUGAAGAAUCAUUUGUGUUAUUGUAUUUUUGUGAUUUAAUUUCUUAGGCUAUAGAUUAUUUGUACCGUGAGGGUUUGGGUUUAUUCAAUGUUUUUUUAGAAGCUGAUUUUGUUUGUCGUACCUUGUGUAUCAGGGUUCAUUAAAUUUUAUUAUUUAUUUUUAUUUCCCGAUUUUAAAGGAGUUAGUGGUUUAUUUUAGUUAUUGUUUCAAUAAUAUUAAUAAUAGGCUGCUGGUAGUGAAAUGUUAUUCGCCUUUAGUGGUUUCUGGUUUUUCAAGAAAUGAAUUUAAUUCAUGCUCCUUGUUUUAUUUUUAUUUUUAUUUUACUUGUUUUUACUUGGUGUUAAAAUUAAGGGGGAUUAGCUCCUUGUUUUAUUUUUAUAAUUUAUUUAUUUAAUUGUGGUUUUGUGGAUUUUAUAUUGAUUUUCAAUUUGAUUAUGUUAAAAUUUUAUUUGUUUGUUUUGUUUAUUUAGUUAUUGUUUAAUUUUUUAUUGAAAUGUUUUCUUUACUUUUGCUUGGUUAGUAAUUAUUGUGUAAUUAGUAAAUCUUGUUUUAUAUUUUGUGUUUGUUGGUGUUAAAUUCUUUUGAGGAAUUCGGCAAAUAAUUCAUGUCCGCCUGUUUAACAAAAACAUCUUUUCUCGUUAGUUUUUGAAGUAUGGCCUGCCCACUGACGUUUGGAAGUUGAAGGGCCGCGGUAUUUUGACCGUGCAAAGGUAGCAUAAUCAUUAGUUCUUUAAUUGUGAUCUGGUAUGAAUGGCUUGACGAGACAUGGGCUGUCUUAGGGUGAUGAAUAGUUUAUUGAAUUUGGUUUUUGAGUUAAAAUUCUUAGAUGUUUUUAUGGGACGAGAAGACCCUAUAGAGUUUUACAUUUAAUUUAUUUAUUUAAUUGUUUGUUUUUUUUACUGAUUAAUUUAAGUGUUUUGUUGGGGUGAUGGGAGGAAUUUAUCUAACUCCUCUUUAUUUAUUAUAUUUAUAUAUAAUUGUUUUGAUCCAUUUAUUUUGAUUAUAAGAUUAAAUUACCUUAGGGAUAACAGCGUUAUCUUCCUUGAGAGUUCUUAUUGGCGGGAAGGUUUGCGACCUCGAUGUUGGAUUAAGGUGAAUUUUCGGUGUAGGAGCUGAAAGUGGUUGGGUCUGUUCGACCUUUAAAAUCUUACAUGAUCUGAGUUCAGACCGGCGUGAGCCAGGUUGGUUUCUAUCUAUAAUAGUAUUUUAUAUCUUAGUACGAGAGGACCGGGUAUUUGAAAUAAUUUUGUUGUAUAUUGAUUUUCAUUAAUUUUGCUAUUUUGGCAGAUAAGUGCAUUGGAUUUAGAAUCUAUUAA